GUGGGGAAUUUUGGACAAUGGGGGCAACCCUGAUCCAGCCAUCCCGCGUGUGCGAUGAAGGCCUUCGGGUUGUAAAGCACUUUUGGCAGGGAAGAAAAGGUUCUGGUUAAUACCUGGAGCCGCUGACGGUACCUGCAGAAUAAGCACCGGCUAACUACGUGCCAGCAGCCGCGGUAAUACGUAGGGUGCAAGCGUUAAUCGGAAUUACUGGGCGUAAAGCGUGCGCAGGCGGUUCGGAAAGAAAGAUGUGAAAUCCCAGGGCUUAACCUUGGAAUGGCAUUUUUAACUACCGGGCUAGAGUAUGUCAGAGGGGGGUAGAAUUCCACGUGUAGCAGUGAAAUGCGUAGAGAUGUGGAGGAAUACCGAUGGCGAAGGCAGCCCCCUGGGAUAAUACUGACGCUCAUGCACGAAAGCGUGGGGAGCAAACAGGAUUAGAUACCCUGGUAGUCC
rnacentral:rRNA from 1 species